rnacentral:rRNA from 1 species
UGGGGAAUUUUGGACAAUGGGGGCAACCCUGAUCCAGCCAUGCCGCGUGUCUGAAGAAGGCCUUCGGGUUGUAAAGGACUUUUGUCGGGGAGCAAAUCCUAGCUGUGAAUAGCGGUUGGGGAUGAGAGUACCUGAAGAAUAAGCACCGGCUAACUACGUGCCAGCAGCCGCGGUAAUACGUAGGGUGCAAGCGUUAAUCGGAAUUACUGGGCGUAAAGCGUGCGCAGGCGGUUGAGCAAGUCUGAUGUGAAAGCCCCGGGCUUAACCUGGGAACGGCAUUGGAGACUGCUCGGCUAGAGUGCGUCAGAGGGGGGUAGAAUUCCACGUGUAGCAGUGAAAUGCGUAGAGAUGUGGAGGAAUACCGAUGGCGAAGGCAGCCCCCUGGGAUGACACUGACGCUCAUGCACGAAAGCGUGGGGAGCAAACA